rnacentral:tRNA from 1 species
CUGGGUGUAGCUCAACAGUAGAGCGCCCGCCUUGGAAGCGGGAGGUCGGACGGGCAGCACGUCCCACUCAGACCA